CAAAUAUGAACAUAUAUAUUGAAUGAUACAUGUGGAUAUAUAUGUAUACAUACAGAGGUAUGCACAUAGUUAUAAACAGGCAAUGAAGACAGAGAGGGAAAGGAGUUCGUGGAAUCAAGUGCACAGCAACAAGCUUUUGGCAGUGACUGAAUAUGAUCUGCUGGAACAGACAGCUGCAUCUGACAGCAAUACGAAAAACACUCCAGGCCAAAGAUGCUUAAAAGGCAGGAUGGAAAGGUCUGGGUAUUUUAUCUGUUUGCUUAUUUUUAAACAUGACUUUUUG
rnacentral:lncRNA from 1 species